rnacentral:rRNA from 2 species
UACGUAGGUGGCAAGCGUUAUCCGGAAUUAUUGGGCGUAAAGGGUGCGUAGGCGGCGAGAUAAGUCUGAGGUAAAAGCCCGUGGCUCAACCACGGUAAGCCUUGGAAACUGUCUGGCUGGAGUGCAGGAGAGGACAAUGGAAUUCCAUGUGUAGCGGUAAAAUGCGUAGAUAUAUGGAGGAACACCAGUGGCGAAGGCGGUUGUCUGGCCUGUAACUGACGCUGAAGCACGAAAGCGUGGGGAGCAAAUAGG